rnacentral:rRNA from 1 species
AGAUUGAACGCUGGCGGCAUGCUUUACACAUGCAAGUCGAACGGCAGCACGGGGGCAACCCUGGUGGCGAGUGGCGAACGGGUGAGUAAUGCAUCGGAACGUAUCUUCAAGUGGGGGAUAACGCAUCGAAAGAUGCGCUAAUACCGCAUAAUCUCCGAGGAGAAAAGCAGGGAUCGCAAGACCUUGCGCUUUUGGAGCGGCCGAUGUCUGAUUAGCUAGUGUGAGUAAGGCUUACCAGGCUUCGAUCAGUAGCUGGUCUGAGAGGACGACCAGCCACA